rnacentral:rRNA from 1 species
CGGACGGGUGAGUAAUGCUUGGGAAUCUGGCUUAUGGAGGGGGAUAACUACGGGAAACUGUAGCUAAUACCGCGUAAUAUCUUCGGAUUAAAGGGUGGGACUUUCGGGCCACCUGCCAUAAGAUGAGCCCAAGUGGGAUUAGGUAGUUGGUGGGGUAAAGGCCUACCAAGCCGACGAUCUCUAGCUGGUCUGAGAGGAUGACCAGCCACACUGGAACUGAGACACGGUCCAGACUCCUACGGGAGGCAGCAGUGGGGAAUAUUGCACAAUGGGGGGGACCCUGAUGCAGCCAUGCCGCGUGAAUGAAGAGGGCCUUCGGGUUGUAAAGUUCUUUCGGUGAUGAGGAAGGUGUUUGUUUUAAUAGAACAAGCAAUUGACGUUAGUCACAGAAGAAGCACCGGCUAACUCCGUGCCAGCAGCCGCGGUAAUACGGAGGGUGCGAGCGUUAAUCGGAAUGACUGGGCGUAAAGGGCACGCAGGCGGUGACUUAAGUGAGAUGUGAAAGCCCCGAGCUUAACUUGGGAAUUGCAUUUCAUACUGGGUCGCUAGAGUAUUUUAGGGAGGGGUAGAAUUCCACGUGUAGCGGUGAAAUGCGUAGAGAUGUGGAGGAAUACCGAAGGCGAAGGCAGCCCCUUGGGAAUAUACUGACGCUCAUGUGCGAAAGCGUGGGGAGCAAACAGGAUUAGAUACCCUGGUAGUCCACGCUGUAAACGCUGUCGAUUUGGGGAUUGGGCUUAGAGCUUGGUGCCCGUAGCUAACGUGAUAAAUCGACCGCCUGGGGAGUA